AAGUCGUAACAAGGUAUCCGUAGGUGAACCUGCGGAUGGAUCAUUAAACACGUGUUUUCAACACACGUUACCAACCAACCCGUGCACUCAAAGCGCUUGGAAAGCUCAAGGCGUCUUAGCAAUCAUUGAGGCGAAAGCAAAGCGUGUGGUUUCAGGCGUUCUCGCGAACGCCUGGGGCCGCAUGCUUUACAUCGUGCGCCUUUGCUGGACGUUUUUCCAAACCCCCUUUCUCACACGAUGGUUUCCACUUAUUAACCAAUAAACCCCCCAAACACAUUUCUUAAUGACUUAAGAUUUUCUUUUGAAAGGAAAGCCUAGACUUUACGGUCUUGUUUUUCUGAAUAGAUAAGAAACCCUGUACAACUCUUAGCAACGGAUAUCUUGGUUCUC
rnacentral:misc_RNA from 1 species